UGGGGAAUUGUUCACAAUGGGCGCAAGCCUGAUGACGCAACGCCGCGUGGGGGAUGAAGGUCUUCGGAUCGUAAACCCCUGUCGAAUGGGACGAAAGACUCGCGAGUGAAUACUUCGCGAGAGUGACGGUACCGUUAAAGGAAGCCACGGCUAACUCUGUGCCAGCAGCCGCGGUAAUACAGAGGUGGCAAGCGUUGUUCGGAAUUACUGGGCGUAAAGGGCGCGUAGGCGGCCCUCUAAGUCAGACGUGAAAUCCCCCGGCUUAACCUGGGAACUGCGUCUGAUACUGGAGGGCUUGAGUAUGGGAGAGGGAUGUAGAAUUCCAGGUGUAGCCGUGAAAUGCGUAGAUAUCUGGAGGAAUACCGGUGGCGAAGGCGGCAUCCUGGACCAUUACUGACGCUGAGGCGCGAAAGCUAGGGGGGCAAACGGGGAUUAGAUACCCAGGUAGUCCCUGAGCGGGCUGGCAAGGCGCAU
rnacentral:rRNA from 1 species